UGGGGAAUCUUGGACAAUGGGGGCAACCCUGAUCCAGCCAUGCCGCGUGAGUGAUGAAGGCCUUAGGGUCGUAAAGCUCUUUCGCCUGUGAAGAUAAUGACGGUAGCAGGUAAAGAAACCCCGGCUAACUCCGUGCCAGCAGCCGCGGUAAUACGGAGGGGGUUAGCGUUGUUCGGAAUUACUGGGCGUAAAGCGCACGUAGGCGGACCAGAAAGUUGGGGGUGAAAUCCCGGGGGCUCAACCCCGGAACUGCCUCCAAAACUAUUGGUCUAGAGUUCGAGAGAGGUGAGUGGAAUUCCAAGUGUAGAGGUGAAAUUCGUAGAUAUUUGGAGGAACACCAGUGGCGAAAGGCGGCUCACUGGCUCGAUACUGACGCUGAGGUGCGAAAAGUGUGGGGAGCAAAACAGGAUUAGAUACCCUGGUAGUCCCACACCGUAAAACGAUGAAUGCCAGUCGUCGGGUAGCAUGCUAUUCGGUGACACACCUAACGGAUUAAGCAUUCCGCCUGGGGAGUACGGUCGCAAGAUU
rnacentral:rRNA from 1 species